rnacentral:rRNA from 1 species
AACGAACGCUGGCGGCAUGCCUAACACAUGCAAGUCGAACGAGAUCUUCGGGUCUAGUGGCGUACGGGUGCGUAACGCGUGGGAAUCUGCCCUUUGGUUCGGAAUAACAGUUGGAAACGACUGCUAAUACCGGAUGAUGACGAAAGUCCAAAGAUUUAUCGCCAGAGGAUGAGCCCGCGUAGGAUUAGCUAGUUGGUGUGGUAAAGGCGCACCAAGGCGACGAUCCUUAGCUGGUCUGAGAGGAUGAUCAGCCACACUGGGACUGAGACACGGCCCAGGCUCCUACGGGAGGCAGCAGUGGGGAAUAUUGGACAAUGGGCGAAAGCCUGAUCCAGCAAUGCCGCGUGAGUGAUGAAGGCCUUAGGGUUGUAAAGCUCUUUUACCCGGGAUGAUAAUGACAGUACCGGGAGAAUAAGCUCCGGCUAACUCCGUGCCAGCCGCCGCGGUAA